rnacentral:lncRNA from 1 species
UGGAGCGGAAAGAGCCGAGUGAGAAGAAAUGGCAUUCCUGUUUGCCAUGAAAUAACCAAAGCAGAGAGAGACUUGGAUCAUGAAGUGAUGGGUGCACUGGGGGACCAUAAAGUGGUAGAAGAAGGAUGCCCACAAGUAGAUCAGUGAAUUCAACUACCCCAGCAGGGUUUCCUCAGCCAGCUGGUUCUAACUUAGAAAGGCACUACUGGGUUGCCCUGUGAUGAGCCCACCAGUCACAAAUGACAACCGUGUUCGUGUCACUAUUGGCAGAAGCAGGUGGUGUGUUCUCUCACUUAACACAACAGGUUUACAUCACCACCCUUAGCACCCAAACCCUGGUAGCUUGAAGCAUGGCUCUGCUCUGUCUCUCUACAAAGUCUAUAAAAACCCUCCGGUUCCCACAAGGCUAAUCGAUGAAAACGUAUGGUUCUCAGUACGCAGAUCCUAUCACACCUUGUGUUCCAGACACUGUUUCAAACGGGCUGUGAAGUCAUAUCAGGUUCGACAGUCUGAAGCAUGAAUAUUACUCACUGAAACACUGCCAUAAGAAUUAGGAAAAGAAAUCAGGGCCGGUUUUUUCAGGCUAAAUUUAAAUAUGGAAUUCAGCAACCGAAGAACUCUCUUGGUCAGAUCCAGCAGUCAUGACCAGGAAGUCCAGUUCUGCUGGCAUCCGGUUGUCUUCCCGAGGCAGUUCUGAUUCCUGGUACUUUACAAGACUGAUGGAUCGAAAUUCUGCUGAGUUUUCCGGAUUCUACCACUCUCCCAGACUCCACACCGGAAAAAAAUCCAGAUCCAGGGAUCCUGCUCCAGGACCUGCAACGACAGUUUCCUAAGGCACACUCUUUCAGUCAUCUGCUAAUUAGAAAUUUCAUUUUUAAAUGUUAAACCUAAGUGCAGAGUGAAUCCUGUAUCCCCUGCAUCCUCAGGAGAUGGAGGUGGAAGAAUAAGAGUUCAAGGCCAUCCUCAGCUACUCGACCAGUUAGAGACCAGCCUGGAUUACACAACCCUGCCUCAAAAACCAAAAAUAGAGCAUGUUAAACCGUAGGAAAUAGAACAUCGCCAUGUUUUUUAUAGGUAGUAUUUACUGCAAAACAGAAACAUGAUAUCCUGAAAGAUGUGUGUGUGUGUGUGUGUCUGUCUGUCUGUCUGUCUUAUUUUCUGGCACAUGGGCCUUUACAUAAGGAUGGGUCUUCU